AGCAGGGUGGAAACAGGCAGAAAACGAGAAAUGUAGAAUUCCUGUGAUUCUAUCAAAUAUUUCUUUACCACUAUUUCCAUUGUUACUAGAAACGCGAUGAUAGAGACAACAGUCACGACAGGGAAAUCGGGCAAAACACUGCCAAACAAAUUUUUAGGUACUUUAUUGACUUUGAUUGGCAGCAAUAAAAAUAGUGUUAAUGGUUCGCACGCAAAUAUUCCUAAUUUUAAAAACUGCACUAAUUUUGCGAGAUAUAAACAGAACCAAAAAUAUUGUGAUUGUUCUAUCAGGAGAGUAAAUUUAAUCGUACAGUACGGUGGCGCGCGAUCGCCAAUCGUGUCAGUUCUACUUGCUUCACCUGAUGUUAGCUUCUUUAGAGACAUUUCCUAAAAACGCUGUAACUGCUAAAACGCUGUGAGUUGCUAAUAAAGGGUGCCUUUUUAUUUUUAACGGCAUUUUCGGGUUUAAAUUCCGAAUGAAAAUAUAAACGAAUGAAUAGCGACCGGAAGGAACAAACACUUGUCGAUUUCAGUCACGCUAUAUGUCGAAAAUACCCAAUAUUCACGGCCUCCGUAC